rnacentral:rRNA from 1 species
UUAUUUAGUAUUAUGGUAGUUGGUUAUGUUAAAGCUAACCAAGCCUUAGAUGCUUAGCAGGCUUUAACGAGUGAUCUGCCACAACGGGCUUGAAAUAGUGCCUGAACAUUUAUGGCAGCAGUAAAGAAUCUUGGGCAAUGCAUUCAAGUGUGACCCAGCAAGUCUCCGUGGAUGAUGAAGAUAUUAAAUUAUAUUGUAAAAUUCUAUCUUUUUAUAUUUAUAAUGAAAUAUAAAAAGGAAAGCACAGGCUAAAUUCGUGCCAGCAGCCGCGGUAAUACGGAUUGUGCAAGUCUUUGACCUCGUGACUAGGUGUAAAAGGCCACAUAGGAGGUUAUAUAAGUUAUUGAGUAAAUACAGGGUAUAAACCUUGGAAUCUCAAUAAAACUUUAUAACUAGAAUAUAAAAGGGGUUUAAGAUAUCUUCUAAGUAAAGGUGAAAUUUGUAGAAAUAGAAGGGAUGACCUAUUAAGUGAAAACAUUAAAUCAUUUUAUAUUGACUCUGAAGUGCUAAAGUAUGGG